CAGCCCGGAGCCUUGUCUCAAC
rnacentral:miRNA from 1 species